CACCACCACCACCACCACCGUUUCAUAACCCUGCACUGAAUGUGAAGACAACAACCACCCACCCCCAAAGGAAACUCUGCCAGGGUACAUGUAUAGUACCUACAGCAUUGAUCAAGUAUUUUGGAUCAAUAAGUGAGGUUGUACUGUUGACUGUUUUCAUCUCAUUAAUGAACGACACAUCGCUGAAGCUCACGGUGAAGUCUCAACCUCCAGUUUGCAGACUACGUGGCACCAUUUUACAGACACACGCUUGCACUUUCCCUGUACCACUAUACUCCAAGUUCCUGGCUGGCACUGGAGUUACAUCCUUAGCAUGUACACCAUAACCUCCAGGUGAGCCUCGAGUGGAAGAGAGUACUGCCUUUGUCUCUGAGGUUGGGCUCCAGGGAUCAGGUCAACAACGGUGGGGCCCCGACUGCAAGCUAGUCCGGGUGGGUUAUCUUCAGCCCAUACAGAGGGGAAUGUAAGCCUGAAUUCUGAGGGGCUACAGGGUAGGGCCUGAGCACAGAAUAGUCUCCAUUCUUCUUCCCUUGGCAGGGUAAUCACCAAGACCAGGGUUUCCUUCUGCAUUGGGUUUAAUUGGAGGCUACUAUGUCCAGUGGGUUCAAAAGUUAUCUGGGCCCCAAGUUUGGAGAGCAGAUCCUGGCCCAGGAGAGGAAUCGCACAGUCAGCUGUGACUUCUCUGUGUAUGAAAACUGUACUGGCAACCUCUAUCAGCUGAGUGAUAUUCAUCCUGGCAAAGCCCUCCAGCUUCUGGAGUUUUCUUCUGAUAUCUGGGGCGGCCUGUGCCACAAAAGAGGUAUUUACAAUUUGUUGACUUUCUGGUGCCUCGGGGUCAAACGGGGCGUAUACACGGUAUGUUUCACAUAAUUUUUCAUAGUAGUCUCCGGGAAACUCCCCAGGCUAUUGUGUGACUGGCCAUAUUUUAGUCAUGUUUAUGGGCUUUUUGGCUCCAGCUUGGAUUCCCUGAAGGAGGGCUUCCUGAUAUCAUCAGAUGUGGGCUUGUCCUUCUUCUGUGGUAAAAUACCAUGUUGGGCAUUCUUCAGGUGUGGCACCUUGAGCCCAGACAGCAGGGUUAUUAAUCCCCGGCAGUGCGUGAUCUUCUAGGUACUGUUGUGUUUCUCUCAUUAUUUAUUUUUUUCCUUCUGUAUUAAACAGAGUACAGAGUAACUGUUGACAAUCUUCCCAAGUUGGUUGGUGGGUCUGGAAGAGGGACUCCAUCAAGUCAACCAUUGCUUGUGGCUUUUCAGAGUAUGAUGGAGUGUUGUGUUUCCAAUUGAGGGGGUUGGUUGUAGAGAAAGGUUGAUAAUAUAUCAUGGAAUGGCUGGGCUGGACUGUUACAUCCUCAUUCUCUCUUUCAGGUUCUCUCAUCUCCCUUACAGACAUUUUGAGAGCAUUAGGUCUAGGUCUGGGGCACAAUCUGGCUGCUGGCCCUUGUGGGGGAAUAUUCUCUGGGUCCAAGAGGGCUGGGGAGAUGGGCGUGGGAAACGGAUGACACUGGCAGUGGCCGAGGAUAGACAGAUGG